rnacentral:rRNA from 1 species
UGCGUAGGGUGCAAGCGUUGUCCGGAAUUAUUGGGCGUAAAGAGCUCGUAGGCGGUUUGUCGCGUCUGCUGUGAAAACUCGGGGCUUAACCCCGGGCCUGCAGUGGGUACGGGCAGACUAGAGGUAUGCAGGGGAGAAUGGAAUUCCUGGUGUAGCGGUGAAAUGCGCAGAUAUCAGGAGGAACACCAGUGGCGAAGGCGGUUCUCUGGGCAUUACCUGACGCUGAGGAGCGAAAGUGUGGGGAGCGAACAGG